AAUAGAUCUUCUUUCUCAAAUGCUCCGUUUGGAACCGAGCAAGCGGAUCACAGCUCGGCAUGCUCUGGAGCAUGAGUAUUUCAAAGACCUCGGGGUGGUGCCUUGAGCUGUGCCCUCGAUGCUGCUGUACAUUAUCUCGAGAAGAAGCCGCGGGCAGCAGUUAUUCGUGAAUGUAUGAGACAUUCUUCUUGUGUUGUUUCCCUGUAUGUACCCGCAUGAACUAGUUGUGUAGAGAUGCCUAUCGUCGGAUAGUAGAAUUCGUGUUGUAGCUUGCUGCUGAACCAGUUUUCUCCCAUUUUUGCUGUUUAAUGUUCUUAAUGUCCGCAUCUAGGUUUCUGAACUAUAUAUAUCUUUUCAUGUGUGGG
rnacentral:misc_RNA from 1 species